rnacentral:rRNA from 1 species
AGUGAACGCUGGCGGCGUGCCUAAUACAUGCAAGUCGAACGGAGUGGCGCACGGGUGAGUAAUGUAUAGCUAAUCAGCCCUACACUAGAGGACAAUAGUUGGAAACGACUGCUAAUACUCUAUAGUGUAGGAUGAGGCUAUAUUGUAUCAGCUAGUUGGUGAGGUAAUGGCUCACCCAGGCUAUUACGCAUAACUGGUUUGAGAGGAGGAUCAGUCACACUGGACUUGAGACACUGGCCAGCCUCCUACGGGCGGCAGCAGUAGCGAAUAUUGCUCAAUGGGGGAAUCCCUGAAGCAUCAACGCCGCGUGGAGGAUGACAAUUUUAGGAGCGUAUACUCCUUUUGUUAGGGAAGCGGUACCUAACGAAUAAGCACCGGCUAACUCCGUGCCAGCAGCCGCGGUAAUUC